rnacentral:tRNA from 1 species
GGAGGGAUGGCAGAGCGGUUGAAUGCACCGGUCUUGAAAACCGGCGAGGGUUAGCGCCCUCCCAGGGUUCGAAUCCCUGUCCCUCCG